CCUACGGGUGGCUGCAGUCGAGAAUCUUCCGCAAUGGGCGCAAGCCUGACGGAGCAAUGCCGCGUGAAGGAUGAAGGUCUUUGGAUUGUAAACUUCUGUCACCGGGGACGAAGUAUGACGGUACCCGGGGAGGAAGCCACGGCUAACUACGUGCGAGCAGCCGCGGUAAGACGGAGGGGGCGAGCGUGGUUCGGAAUUAUGGGGCGUAAAGGGUUCGUAGGAUGUUUUUUAAGAUUGGUGUGAAAUCCCAGGGCUCAACCCUUGAACUGCAUUGAUGCCUGAGAGACUAGAGUAUCGUAGAGGAAAGCGGAAUACCAGGUGUAGCGGUGGAAUGCGUAGAUAUCUGGUAGAACACCGACAGCGAAGGCAGCUUUCUGGGCGAUUACUGACUCUGAGGAACGAACGCGUGGGUAGCAAACAGGAUUAGAUACCCGUGUAGUC
rnacentral:rRNA from 1 species